CACCGCGUAGCUCAGUUGGCAGAGCAUUGGGCUAGUAUUCCAAAGGUCGUAGGUUCGAUUCCCACCGUGGCCG